rnacentral:lncRNA from 1 species
GUGUUAGCAUACGGUAUUUGUCUUUUUCUUUCUGACUUACUUCACUCUGUAUGACAGACUCUAGGUCUAUCCAUCUCAUUACAAAUAGCUCAAUUUCAUUUCUUUUUAAGGCUGAGUAAUAUACCAUUGUGUAUAUGUGCCACAUCUUCUUUAUCCAUUAAAAACAGUGGUUAGAGGCCACGAAGUAAGUGGCAAUGCCUUAACCGUAUGCGUGUUGUUAGACCCGAAGGUCUCUUCCAUCCUUGUCAAGGGGAGUGCUAACCUUCUCUCCUUUCAUACAACACUACCCAAGAGGUUUGAAAAGAGGGAGUGAAACAGAUAUUUGUACACCCAUAUUCACAGCAGCAUUACACUGGCCAAAAGGCACAAGCAACCCGUGUCCGUGGAUAGAUGAAUUGAUAAGCAAAAUGUGAUAAUAUAUACAAAGGUACAUUUUCAGCCUUAAAAACUAAGGAAAUUCAGACACAUGCUACAACAUGUAUGAGUCUUAAAGUCAUUAUGCUAAGUGAAAUAACCCAGUCACAAAAGGACGAAUACUAUAUGAUCCCACUUCUGUGAGGUAUCCAGAGAGGUGAAAUUCAGAGACAGAAAGUAGAAUGUGGUUGACAAGGGUUGAAGGGAGUUAGUGGUUAAUGGAUGCAGUGGAAUAAAACAAGUACAGGUGAUGGAUAGUGAGGAUAUUUGUACAAUAAUGUAAAUGUGAAUGUCAUAGAACUAUAUAUUUUAAAUGGUUUAAGUGGUAAGUGUUAUGUUCGAUAUUUAAUCACAAUGGAAAAUGUGAAUGAAGUACUGAUACAAGUUACAACAUGUAUGAACAUUGAAAACAUCCUAAGAGAAAGAAGCUAUGCAGAAAAGGCCACCCAGAUCAUACUCAUCUUGUGUGCUUUAAAUCCAUCAAGGCUGUGAAAAUGAGGGGAAGUCUCAAGAUUGCUUCCAGAAAAAGAAAACUGGGUCAGAAUGGAAAAAGACAUUUUUGUGCUUUGGGGCAGGUGAUGGAAGUGGAAGUGGAGCCAGUGGAUUGGAUUAGAAGGUGAAAACUGUAAUGAUUUCUCAUAUGGGGGUUAUAGGGGUGUUUCCUGGGAGAGUGUCCCUUUUUGGGGUGAAAACACAAUGGAAACAGUCAUUGAAAUUGGCAUAUGUGGUAAAACAGUGAUGACUGGGGAAUCUGAACUUACAGAUAAAGACUACAUUGUACUGCU